rnacentral:lncRNA from 1 species
UGCUUGGUAGAGUGGAAAAAAAAAUGGAAGGAUGGAAAAUUGAAGGGGUAGAAAACUAAAAGGAUGGAUAAGAUAAUUUUUCUUUCCACAGGUGUGCUUGGUAGGAAAGAUGGAAAAAUAGAAAAAAAAUGUAUAAAAUUUUCUUUCUGUCAAUUGCUUGGUAGAGUUGAAAAAUGGAAGGAAAGAAAACAAAACAUUUGAAAAAUGUUGAACUAACAUACACAUCUCUCUCGUUUUUUCGUCUUUACAACUUGGAAAAAUUAGUUUUUAUGCAUUAGGAUGGGCAACGGUCAUCCUUACUAUUUUCUUUCCUCUCAUUUUUCUUCUCAACCAAGCACACCCUAAAUGUUAUAAAAUGAAAACCAAAUAAUAAAUUACAAUCUUAGCAGAAAAAACAAAUUCUUGAAAAAUUGAUAUGCAGUUUGAUUAAUACAAACACAUACCAAAGAAAGCUGGAGACAAGGGAAACCAA